GACGAACGCUGGCGGCGUGCUUAACACAUGCAAGUCGGACGGGCCUUGUCCCCUUUUUUUUGGGGUUGGGGUUAGUGGCGAACGGGUGAGUAACACGUGAGUAACCUGCCCCUCACUUCUGGAUAACCGCUUGAAAGGGUGGCUAAUACGGGGUGUUCUGGCCUGCUCGCAUGGGUGGGUUUGGAAAGAUUCGACCGGUUUUGGUUGUUUUGGUGGGGGAUGGGCUCGCGGCCUAUCAGCUUGUUGGUGGGGUGAUGGCCUGCCAAGGCUUUGACGGGUAGCCGGCCUGAGAGGGUGGGCGGUCACACUGGGACUGAGACACGGCCCAGACUCCUACGGGAGGCAGCAGUGGGGAAUAUUGCACAAUGGGCGCAAGCCUGAUGCAGCGACGCCGCGUGAGGGAUGGAGGCCUUCGGGUUGUGAACCUCUUUCGCCAGUGAAGAAGGUCCUGCUCUUUGUGGUGGGGUUGACGGUAGCUGGGUUAAUGAAGCGCCGGCUAACUACGUG
rnacentral:rRNA from 1 species